UAUUUUUAUUUUACAGUUUAUAAUUGUUAUUAAGUAACGCUAUACAACGAAUCCAUGAGACAAUUGUUAAAAAACUGAAGUUUUAACCCUUACUAAAACAGCAUAUUAAUAAUAUUUUAAAAAUUUAUAAAUAUUGAUUCAAAUACAUCCACCAUAUAACUCAAUUCCAAAAUAAAAUCUGUUCUGUAAUUUCUUUACCCAUCCCGUGAUUUAUUUUUAAAGUAGUAAUUUUAAAAAUUUGAGAAUUAUUUAUUACAUAUAAAAGUUUUACAAAUUGUAUCAUUCUCUAAUACAUUUAUAUUUUAUAGUUUAAUUUUAUAUAUAGUAA
rnacentral:sRNA from 1 species